rnacentral:miRNA from 1 species
UGCUUCUCCUGGGGUCUUCCUCUACAUUUCAACCCAGACAGGCCUGGGUCGAAAUGUAGAGGAAGACCCCAGGAGGAGCA